GACGAACGCUGGCGGCGUGCUUAACACAUGCAAGUCGAACGGAAAGGCCCUGCUUUUGUGGGGUGCUCGAGUGGCGAACGGGUGAGUAACACGUGAGUAACCUGCCCUUGACUUUGGGAUAACUUCAGGAAACUGGGGCUAAUACCGGAUAGGAGCUCCUGCUGCAUGGUGGGGGUUGGAAAGUUUCGGCGGUUGGGGAUGGACUCGCGGGUUAUCAGCUUGUUGGUGGGGUAGUGGCUUACCAAGGCUUUGACGGGUAGGCGGCCUGAGAGGGUGACCGGCCACAUUGGGACUGAGAUACGGCCCAGACUCCUACGGGAGGCAGCAGUGGGGAAUAUUGCACAAUGGGCGGAAGCCUGAUGCAGCAACGCCGCGUGCGGGAUGACGGCCUUCGGGUUGUAAACCGCUUUCGCCUGUGACGAAGCGUGAGUGACGGUAAUGGGUAAAGAAGCACCGGCUAACUACGUG
rnacentral:rRNA from 1 species